AACGAACGCUGGCGGCAUGCCUAACACAUGCAAGUCGAACGAGAUCUUCGGGUCUAGUGGCGCACGGGUGCGUAACGCGUGGGAAUCUGCCCUUUGGUUCGGAAUAACAGUUGGAAACGACUGCUAAUACCGGAUGAUGACGAAAGUCCAAAGAUUUAUCGCCAGAGGAUGAGCCCGCGUAGGAUUAGCUAGUUGGUGUGGUAAAGGCGCACCAAGGCGACGAUCCUUAGUUGGUCUGAGAGGAUGAUCAGCCACACUGGGACUGAGACACGGCCCAGACUCCUACGGGAGGCAGCAGUGGGGAAUAUUGGACGAUGGGCGAAAGCCUGAUCCAGCAAUGCCGCGUGAGUGAUGAAGGCCUUUGGGUUGUAAAGCUCUUUUACCCGGGAUGAUAAUGACAGUACCGGGAGAAUAAGCUCCGGCUAACUCCGUGCCAGCCGCCGCCGUAA
rnacentral:rRNA from 1 species